rnacentral:rRNA from 1 species
CCUACGGGUGGCAGCAGUGGGGAAUAUUGCACAAUGGGGGAAACCCUGAUGCAGCGACGCCGCGUGAGUGAAGAAGGAAUUCGGGAUGUAAAGCUCUAUCAGCAGGGAAGAAAAUGACGGUACCUGAGUAAGAAGCCCCGGCUAACUAAGUGCCAGCAGCCGCGGUAAGACGUCGGGGGCAAGCGUUAUCCGGAUUUACUGGGUGUAAAGGGAGCGUAGACGGCAGUGCAAGUCUGGAGUGAAAGGCGGGGGCUCAACCCCCGGACUGCUCUGGAAACUGUACGGCUGGAGGGCAGGAGAGGUAAGUGGACUUCCUAGUGUAGCGGUUAAAUGCGUAGAUAUUAGGCGGAACCCCAGUGGCGACGGCGGCUUACUGGACUGUACCUGCCGUUGCGGCUC